CCGUGAUAAAGUAGCAUAAUCACUCGUCAUUUAAUUGGUGACUGGAAUGAAUGGUUACACGAAUCUUUAACUGUCUCAAGAAGAAAGUUCAGUUAAUUUGAAAAAACAGUGAAGAUGCUGUUAACAAAAUUGUAAGACGAAAAGACCCUUUCGAGCUUUACUAUAAGCUUAUAGAAAAAAUCUUUAAUAAAAAUAUAAUAAAAACAAACUGUAAGCUAGUUAGUUUGGUUGGGGCGACCACCUCUAAAACAGUAUCAGAGGAAAUCUAAAGGUAUAAUAGUAAUAUUAAUUGCCUUACUGUAUACAAACAAGUUAAUCAGUUACUAUUAUGUAGGAUAUAAUGACCCGUUGAAUUAAUUUCAAAAUUCAACGACCAUGAAAAAAGUUACCGUAGGGAUAACAGGGUAAUAUUAUCAAAGAGUUCAUAUCGAUGAUAAU
rnacentral:rRNA from 1 species